GAUGAACGCUGGCGGCGUGCCUAACACAUGCAAGUCGAACGGAGAUUACGGACGGAAGUUUUCGGAUGGAAGCCUGUAAUUCUUAGUGGCGGACGGGUGAGUAACGCGUGUGCAACCUGCCCUAUACAGGGGGAUAGCAGCUGGAAACGGCUGGUAAGACCGCCUACGUCGGUUAAAUCGCAUGAUUUGAUCGGGAAAUGAGCAAUCAGGUAUAGGAUGGGCCCGCGUCCGAUUAGCCAGUUGGCAGGGUAAAAGCCUACCAAAGCGACGAUCGGUAGCCGGACUGAGAGGUCGGACGGAGACAGUGGGAGUGAGACACGGCCGAAACUCCUACGGGAGGCAGCAGUGGGGGACAGUGCAAAAUGGAGGAAACUCUGAUGCAGCGAGGCCGCGUGAGUGAAGAAGUAUUUCGGUAUGUAAAGCGCUAGUAGCAGGGAAGAUGAUGACGGUACCUGACUAAGAAGCCACGGCUAACUACGUG
rnacentral:rRNA from 1 species